rnacentral:rRNA from 1 species
AACGAACGCUGGCGGCAUGCCUAACACAUGCAAGUCGAACGAGACCUUCGGGUCUAGUUGCGCACGUGUGCGUAACGCGUGGGAACCUGCCCUUAGGUUCGGAAUAACUCCCCGAAAGGUGUGCUAAUACCGGUUAAUGUCUUCGGACCAAAGAUUUAUCGCCUUUGGAUGGGCCCGCGUUGGAUUAGCUAGUUGGUAGGGUAAAAGCCUACCAAGGCGACGAUCCAUAGCUGGUCUGAGAGGAUGAUCAGCCACACUGGGACUGAGACACGGCCCAGACUCCUACGGGAGGGAGCAGAGGGGAAUAUUGGACAAUGGGCGAAAGCCUGAUCCAGCAAUGCCGCGUGAGUGAUGAAGGCCUUAGGGUUGUAAAGCUCUUUUACCCGGGAUGAUAAUGACAGUACCGGGAGAAUAAGCUCCGGCUAACUACGUG